UUGUACCCCAUUUUCCAAUAAAUGAGGCAUUUGGCACAUCACCUGGUCGCUUUUCUGCUACCGCCGGGAACGAGCUCAAGGUUGGGAGGAAAAGAGGAAAUUCUGCUUCGCAUGCAUCCAGGAUGCCCCUGGGGGGAGGGUGUGAUGUCCUGGACUGAGAAAACCCAAAACCAUGGCUGGGACAACAGUUCUUGGGCAGAAUUUGAGAGCCUUGGAUGCGCACACAGUGGCUAUCAUCCUGUUUAAGUCUUUCUUUCUUGACUUCUCGACUCACUGACCAAACUUUUUGUGACGAGGUUUGAAGUUCUGGAGAGCAAGGACGAGCUUGAUCUCAUUGGACAACAACCACCAGAAUCGCUGCGGCAGUUUAACCAGCGCUUUCAGUCUUAUAUUCGUAAAUUCGUCUUGUGUGGCGACUUGAUACGGCUGUG